CCAUCUCUGUAUCUCCCUGAGAGGAUUCUUGAGGAAUCAUAGACCGUUGCUAAGUCGCCCAGAAUCACAUCAAAGUGGAUAAGACUUGACGACAACAAGUGGGGAUUUCAUUUCCAACCCAUCUUCACAUUGCCCAACUACCAGAAAGUGAUGGUAUCAGAAUGGCAGGAGGGCCCAGCAAGGAACUGAAACUUGAUUCCUUUGUCACUACCUGCUGUGAGUGGACCUGGUAAGUCACUACACUGGGGUACCAAAGCCAGACUCAUACACAGGAUGAGUGCUAUUCAGUUGACAGAAGGCCCUUGGGG
rnacentral:lncRNA from 1 species